rnacentral:rRNA from 1 species
AUACGGAGGAUCCGAGCGUUAUCCGGAUUUAUUGGGUUUAAAGGGUGCGCAGGCGGCCAUUUAAGUCAGCGGUUAAAUCGUGGGGCUCAACCCCAUUCUGCCGUUGAUACUGGGUGGCUUGAUUGCGGUCGAGGUUGGCGGAAUUCGUUGUGUAGCGGUGAAAUGCAUAGAUAUGACGAAGAACACCGAUUGCGUAGGCAGCUGACCAGACCGCAAAUGACGCUCAUGCACGAAAGUGCGGGGAUCGAACAGGUUUAGAUACCCUGGUAGUCCGCACAGUAAACGAUGAAUACUUGUUUUCGGCGAUAUAAUGUCGGAGGCAAAGCGAAAGCGAUAAGUAUUCCACCUGGGGAGUACGCCGGCAACGGUGAAACUCAAAGGAAUUGACGGGG